rnacentral:rRNA from 1 species
CCUACGGGAGGCUGCAGUGGGGGAUAUUGCACAAUGGGGGGAACCCUGAUGCAGCGACGCCGCGUGGGUGAAGAAGCGCCUCGGCGCGUAAAGCCCUGUCAGCAGGGAAGUAAAUGACGGUACCUGAAGCAGAAGCCCCGUCUAACUACGUGCCAGCAGCCGCGGUAAUACGUAGGGGGCAAGCGUUAUCCGGAUUUACUGGGUGUAAAGGGGGCGCAGACGGCGAUGCAAGCCAGGAGUGAAAGCCCGGGGCCCAACCGCGGGACUGCUCUUGGAACUGCGUGGCUGGAGUGCAGGCGGGGCAGGCGGAAUUCGUGGUGUAGCGGUGAAAUGCGUAGAUAUCAGGAGGAACACCGGUGGCGAAGGCGGCCUGCUGGACUGCAACUGACGUUGAGGCCCGAAAGCGUGGGGAGCAAACAGGAUUAGAUACCCGGGUAGUC